ensembl:lncRNA
CUUUAUUUUAUUCAAGAUGUUUGCAGGAUUUGCCUUCAAUCUCGAUAAGUGAUGUUCAUCGACUGGUCCAGACGGGGAGCUCUGCCCCAGAAGCAAGAGGAGAAGGGAUUUAAAAUGUAUCUGUCAAGUUACAUAGACAAUUAUGAAGUGUGUAUUUUUCUGUAUGGGACCUGCAAGCACAAACAGUUUGGCCAUCCCUGUUUAAGCCUAUCCAUGGUCAGGUACAUGAGCCAGUGUGAGAUAACUUUUGAAAACAGCUCGCCUGUUACAAUUGCUGCUGCUGAAUGCACAUGUGUUGCUGGAAAAGUCCUGUGCAAUCACAAUGUUGGACUUCUUUUUCAAACGGCACAUUACUCAACCCUGAGACUGAAGGCAGUUCCCCCCGUCCUUAGCUGCACAGAAACAGAGCAGAAAUGGCAUAAGCCACGGACUAUGGUAAGCACUUAAUACCAAAGUGAGAAUAUUAUUUAUUAUUAAUACUAUUGUUGUUAUUGUUCUUUGUGAACUUUUAUAGGGUGUGAAACCAGGUAGAGUGAGUGACAUGGUCGUCAUUUCUACAAAGCUUAAACCUAGGCAGUACACAGUCGCUGAUGGUG